rnacentral:rRNA from 1 species
UUAGAUUUUAUUUAUUAAUUUUAUUUAUUUAUUUAAUUUAUUUAAUAAAAAUAAUUUUAAAAUUUUAAGUUUUAGUAUUUUAUAAAGAAAAAAUAAUUUUAAUUAUAGUUUAUUUGUAUUGUAAAAGAAAAUUGAAAUAAUUUGAAAAAUUUUUAUUUUAAAAGAAAAUUUAAUUUAUUGUACCUUGUGUAUCAGGGUUUAUUAAUUAAAAAAUUAUUAUAUUAAUUUUUCUCGAAUUUUAAAGAUUUAAUUAUAUAUAAAAGUUACUGUGGAAUAAUUAUUUUUAAUAUAUAAUUAGAAAUGAAAUGUUAAUCGUUUUAAAAUAUAUCUAGUUUUUUAAGAAAUAAAUUUAAUUUAGAUUUAUAAAUUUAAAUUAUUUAAUUAUUUUAAAUAAUUUAUUUUAUAAAAUUAAUAUUUUAAGGGAUUAGCUUUAAAAUAAAUUUUUAAAUUUUAAAUUAAUUAUUUAAUAAAUAUAAGCUUAAAAAUAGCUAUUAUUAAUAAAUUUGUUAUAAUUUAUUUUAAAAAUUUAAUUAUUUAAUAUAAAAUUAAAUUAUUUAUUAAAAUAUAAAUUUUAAUAAUAAAAAUUUAUAAAUUAUGAUAAAAUUAGUAUAUAAAAUUUUUAUAAAUAAUUAUUUAUGAAAGGUUUAAAUAAGGAAUUCGGCAAAAUAUAUAUUUACCUGUUUAUCAAAAACAUGUCUUUUUGAAUUGAAUUUAAAGUCUAACCUGCCCACUGAUAAAAAUUAAAGGGCCGCGGUAUCUUGACCGUGCAAAGGUAGCAUAAUCAUUAGUUUUUUAAUUGGAGGCUUGUAUGAAUGGUUGAAUAAGAUAUAUACUGUCUUUUUUAAAAUUAUAUAGAAUUUUAUUUUUUAAUUAAAAAGUUAAAAUAAAAUUAAAGGACGAGAAGACCCUAUAGAUCUUUAUUUUUGUUAUUUAUAAAUUAAAAAGAAUUUUAAAAUUUAUAAUUUAAUAAAAAAUUUUAUUGGGGUGAUAUUAAAAUUUAAAAAACUUUUAAAAUUUAUUAACAUUAAUAUAUGAAUAAAUGAUCCAGUUUUAUUGAUUAAAAAUUUAAGUUACCUUAGGGAUAACAGCGUAAUUUUUUUUUAGAGUUCAUAUCGACAAAAAAGAUUGCGACCUCGAUGUUGGAUUAAGAGUUAUUUUUAGGUGUAGAAGUUUAAAGUUUAGGUCUGUUCGACCUUUGAAUUCUUACAUGAUCUGAGUUCAAACCGGCGUAAGCCAGGUUGGUUUCUAUCCUUAAUUAAUUAUUAUAUUAUAGUACGAAAGGACCUAAUAUAAAAAAUAUAGAUUUUAAUGAUAUGAUUAAUAUUAAUAUUAUUUA